AAGUAAUGCCCUGUUGUAUAUAUAUGACAUGUUUUCUCCAUAUUGUGUUGAUAGGCAAGUGUAUCUAGCCUGUGUCUGCGCUGUUGUGAUUAGUGUGGCAUUGUAGCUGAGCUGGGAGCACAGACCGCAAUUUGGUGCUGGCACUGAACAGAGGGCCUUGUGCAUGCUGAGAACCUUCUACCUCUCAUUGCAUUCGACGGAAUCAGUCUUCAGUGAUUUUCCAUUGACUUUUGAAAAAAAAAAGUAUAUUUUGCAUUAAAAUAGUUACUUCAGACCCCUAAUUGUUUGUUAAUACAACUUCACUUUAGGCUGUUAAUCUUUUACCAGUUGAAUUUUCAAAGACCUUGGCCAGAACUUUACUAGUUCUUUAGUAGGCUGAGUGAGAACCUACAUGUUGUUUCAUCAGUUGUACCAGUUCCUUUAAUAAACUGCAUUUUUUGGUCAGUGGAAA